AAAAAGAGAAAGAGAGUGAUAGUGGAUAAAACAGGCAGGAAAUACGGAGAGGAAGUAGGAUACGCAUCAGAAAGGAAAGACGAAAGGAAAGGAUGGAGUGGUGAAACUGAGGGCUGCAGUGAGUCCCUGUGAGCAGGGACAAAGGAGAGAAGGAUUGAAGGUCUUCAUAAUAACCGCCUUCCUACAGUGGAGAGAAGAAAAGGAACUGGGCUUUGACAAGUCCAGGUUGGUCAGUAGUUUAUAGGCUGUCCUGGAGGCUAAAGCCGGAUGUCUGUAUGCCACCAGCACUCAUGGGAAGUGUUCAUCCAUUGGCCGAACAUACGUUGGUACCAUUGUCAUCCAAGUAACAGAGAGAUCACCAGCAAUCAGAAGAGCUGAAGAUAGAAGAAGAGAAUGCUGAGGGAUUUCUUCAGUGGGCCGCUUAACGUUGAAGGAAGUGG